GUAGGGAAUAUUGGGCAAUGGAGGCAACUCUGACCCAGCCAUGCCGCGUGCAGGAUGAAGGCCCUCGGGUUGUAAACUGCUUUUGUACGGAACGAAAAGCCUGGGGCUAAUAUCCCCGGGUCAUGACGGUACCGUAAGAAUAAGCACCGGCUAACUACGUGCCAGCAGCCGCGGUAAUACGUAGGGUGCAAGCGUUAAUCGGAAUUACUGGGCGUAAAGCGUGCGCAGGCGGUUUUGUAAGACAGUGGUGAAAUCCCCGGGCUCAACCUGGGAACGGCCAUUGUGACUGCAAGGCUAGAGUGCGGCAGAGGGGGAUGGAAUUCCGCGUGUAGCAGUGAAAUGCGUAGAUAUGCGGAGGAACACCGAUGGCGAAGGCAAUCCCCUGGGCCUGCACUGACGCUCAUGCACGAAAGCGUGGGGAGCAAACAGGAUUAGAUACCCGGGUAGUCC
rnacentral:rRNA from 1 species